UUUCAGCAUGAUCGAACGCCGGCUCACUUUGCUGUACAAGUACGCAAGUAUUUGGCUCAGCGGUUUGGGCACCGUUGGAUUGCCAGAGGUGGAGCAGUUUCUUGACCCGAUUUAACGUUGCUCGAUUUUUUCUUGUAGGGACAUGUAAAGUCUUUAGUCUACGAAACUCGAGUAGAAUCAGAACUAGACUUAAUUAGACGAAUAACAGCAGCAUUUGAUAUCAUUCAAAACGAGGAUCAAAUUUUUAGUGUACUCCGCCGAAAUCAUGUGCGGCGUUUAAAUCGGUGGAUUGAGGUUGGAGGAAGACAUUUUGAACAAUUGUUGUGAUGGUAUCAUAUACAAAAGAGUUCGGAACUUAUGAACCUUUAUGGCAGGCUAUUCAUAUUUGCUCAUGUCUCCUGCACCUUUCCGAGUGGAAAGCAGUAAAAAUUCUUUGUCGCAGUGAGUUUACGAGACCAUCAAAAUACGAGCGGCGAAGAUAAAUAGACGGAAAAGGGCACAAGAUAUUAAUAAAGGCAGGGAUGCUAAAUGCAGCUUCCCUAAGUACUUGGCGCAUAAGGUAACAGUGGUAACAAGUAAGGCGUCUUGCUUGCUAAACUGGGGUCCGUGAAAAAAGUCUACUCUAUCAGAUAAUGACUAUGUCUAAACAGACGCGAGAUUCGAUAUAACUCGGGGAUCAUUAGUACUAGGAGGAGAAAGAAGUGGCAGCAUUCACGUGUAUUAAGUCCCUGUUCUCUAGAUUCUGGUUUCAACCCAGGUGCACCUUACGCUUGCAUUUUAAUUCGAUUCGAGCAAAGACAAAUCUGACCAGGAAAAUGGUGAAAAGAGAAAAGUAGUUUCUUAGAGAAGUUGUAAAUAUGUAGUACCGGCA